CAAACCAAAGCUGGCGACCGGCGCACGGGUGAGUAACACGUAUCCAACCUGCCUCAUACUCGGGGAUGGCCUUUCGAAAGAAAGAUUAAUAUCCGAUAGCAUAUAUUUCCCGCAUGGGUUUUAUAUUAAAGAAAUUCGGUAUGAGAUGGGGAUGCGUUCCAUUAGUUUGUUGGGGGGUAACGGCCCACCAAGACUACGAUGGAUAGGGGUUCUGAGAGGAAGGUCCCCCACAUUGGAACUGAGACACGGUCCAA
rnacentral:rRNA from 1 species